GGAUUCUGGGUAAUCCAAGAUGGAGGCUGUCAGAAGCACAUUGGAACCAAAUGCAGUAUCCUAUCCUUAGGCCUUCCAGGGAUGCAUCUACUUCCAACAUGUACACCUGUCGGAUUGAGGCUCUGGAAAGAAGCCAUUGAUUUUCUCUGCAAAUUAAACAGAUACUGCCUGACCUGCUGUGCUUUUUCCCAGCAUCAUGCUUUAUCAACUCAACAGGCUGAUAACCU